CAGCCGCCGCGGUAAUACGAGGGGGGCAAGCGUUGUUCGGAAUUAUUGGGCGUAAAGGGUGCGUAGGCGGUUUGGCAAGUUUGGUGUGAAAUCUUCGGGCUCAACUCGAAGUCUGCAUCGAAAACUGCCGGGCUUGAGUAUGGGAGAGGUGAGUGGAAUUUCCGGUGUAGCGGUGAAAUGCGUAGAUAUCGGAAGGAACACCUGCGGCGAAAGCGGCUCACUGGACCAUAACUGACGCUGAUGCACGAAAGCUAGGGGAGCAAACAGGAUUAGAUACCCGUGUAGUCCCUGUCUCUUAUAC
rnacentral:rRNA from 1 species